UACGUAGGGGGCGAGCGUUGCCCGGAUUUAUUGGGCGUAAAGGGCGCGCAGGCGGCUACGCACGUCCGUUGUGAAAUCGCUCGGCUCAACUGGGCGGGGUCAGCGGAUACGGCGUAGCUGGAGCAAGCUAGGGGGCAAUGGAAUUCCAGGUGUAGCGGUGGAAUGCGUAGAUAUCUGGAAGAACACCAGUGGCGAAGGCGGCCUUCUGGACUGACACUGACGCUGAGGCGCGAAAGCUAGGGGAGCAAACAGG
rnacentral:rRNA from 1 species